rnacentral:rRNA from 1 species
GUGCCAGCAGCCGCGGUAAUUCCAGCUCCAAUAGCGUAUAUUAAAGUUGUUGUGGUUAAAAAGCUCGUAGUUGAACCUUGGGCCUGGCUGGCCGGUCCGCCUCACCGCGUGCACUGGUCCGGCCGGGCCUUUCCCUCUGUGGAACCCCAUACCCUUCACUGGGCGUGGCGGGGAAACAGGACAUUUACUUUGAAAAAAUUAGAGUGCUCCAGGCAGGCCUAUGCUCGAAUACAUUAGCAUGGAAUAAUAAAAUAGGACGCGCGGUUCUAUUUUGUUGGUUUAUAGGACCGCCGUAAUGAUUAAUAGGGACAGUCGGGGGCAUCAGUAUUCAACUGUCAGAGGUGAAAUUCUUGGAUCAGUUGAAGACUAACUACUGCGAAAGCAUUUGCCAAGGAUGUUUUCAUUAAUCAGGAACGAAAGUUAGGGGAUCGAAGACGAUCAGAUACCGUCGUAGUCUUAACCAUAAACUAUGCCGACUAGGGAUCGGACGGUGUUAUUCAUGACCCGUUCGGCACCUUACGAGAAAUCAAAGUGCUUGGGCUCCAGGGGGAGUAUGGUCGCAAGGCUGAAACUUAAAGAAAUUGACGGAAGGGCACCACCAGGGGUGGAGCCUGCGGCUUAAUUUGACUCAACACGGGGAAACUCACCAGGUCCAGACGCAAUAAGGAUUGACAGAUUGAGAGCUCUUUCUUGAUUUUGUGGGUGGUGGUGCAUGGCCGUUCUUAGUUGGUGGGGUGACUUGUCUGCUUAAUUGCGAUAACGAACGAGACCUUAACCUGCUAAAUAGCCCGCAUUGC